UGAAGCAUUAACUAUGGCAGAAGCAACAAAGAGGUAUGCAGUUGUCACAGGGGCUAAUAAAGGGAUUGGAUUUGGCACAGUUAAGCAGUUGGCUUCAAAUGGGGUCACUGUGGUGUUAACUGCUAGAGAUGAGAAGAGGGGUGUUGAAGCUGUUGAUAAAUUGAAAGAGUUUGGCCUCUCUGACCUUGUGGUUUUUCAUCAGCUUGAUGUUACAGAUCCUUCUAGCAUUACUUCCUUGGCAGAUUUUGUCAAAACCCAAUUUGGGAAACUUGAUAUCUUGGUAAACAAUGCAGGAAUGAUUGGAAACCAAAUAAAGCCUGAAGAUUUUAGAUCAGCUGUAAGUGGUAAGAAGCCUGAAGAAAUCCGUUGGAAUGCAAUACCGACGGCACCGAACUACAAGUUAGCAGAAGAAGGCCUGAAAACAAACUACUAUGGUACCAAAAGAGUGACUGAAGCACUUUUGCCCCUCCUCCAGCUCUCUGAUUCACCAAGAAUCGUUAAUGUUUCUUCCGGUAUUUCUAAGCUUGUGAUUUUUCCAAAUGGAUGGGCUAAAGAGGUGCUAAGUGACGCCGAAAGCCUUACAGAAGAGAGAAUAGAUGCAGUAUUGGCUGAGCUUUUAGAAGACCUUAAACAAGGUUUGGUAGAAAACAAAAGCUGGCCAACUAUCUUUCCACCCUAUACAGUCUCAAAAGCAGCUGUGAAUGCAUACACUAGAAUUCUGGCCAAGAAGUACCCCAACUUCUACAUCAAUUGUGUGUGCCCUGGAUUUGUCAAGACAGAUAUAACCUUCAAUACUGGCACCUUAACCAUCGAAGAAGGUGCUGAAAGCCUUGUCAGGUUGGCGCUACUCCCCAAUGGCGGUCCUACCGGCCACUUCUUUUUAUGCAAAGAAGCAACCCCGUUUUGAAUAAUUAUGAUGAUCCCAGAGGUUUUUCAUAUGUUUCAUGAAUAAGGGUCAUCGGGAGUUCAUCUACGAUAAUGUAACAAAUGAUGCUGAGAGACUUAUGUUAGAGAUGAAAUCCUGGUACAAUUUUCGUUUUCCUAUAAGUUAGGAAAGUAAUGAUGAAAAACUUCGAAGUGUAUGAUUUUGUGACCGAAGAUCCCCCUUAUUCAAGGUCCACAGCCCCCUAGUUAUGUUGAAGACUCCACAUUUCUUCUAUCUAAGUUGAAUCCAAUUUUGGACAUCAACAAUGUUCAUGGAAAUUAAUACAUUAAGUAUGUUACUGAUUUCAUUCGUCCAACAUUGGAACUGUACGAUCUUAGACAGUGGCGGUCCUACGCUAAGGGCAACAUAGGCACUAGGCACUAGGUAGGCAAGGUAGGCAUGAGCUUCAGCUCCCAAAAAGCUUCUUAGGUGCGCACAUGAUACAAGCUCAACAUGCCUUCACAAUUUUUCAUGUCAUAAAAUAGCAGUACAUAUCUAAUAUGAAAUGUUUAUUCAUAUUCCUAUCUAGUUUCUUUAUUGCACUAGGCACUAGGUAGCUAUGAUACCAAAUUGUCACAUCUCAGGAUCGGUUUCGCCGUAGCACGAUAUUGUUUGCUUCCCCCUCUAUGCCCUCACGGUUUUGCUUCUAGAAACUCACAAGCAACUUCCCAGUAGGUCACUCAUCCUGGGAUUGCCAUAGCCACAACUUGCUUAACUUCGAAGUUCUCAUGACUCCGAAGCCAAUGAGCUCCCAAAAGGCCUUGUGCUAUAUUAAG